rnacentral:rRNA from 1 species
AGCACCUACGGGACGCAGCAGUGGGGGAUAUUGCACAAUGGGGGAAACCCUGAUGCAGCAACGCCGCGUGAGUGACGAAGGUCUUCGGAUUGUAAAACUCUGUUCUUGGUGAAGAUAAUGACGGUAGCCAAGGAGAAAGCUCCGGCUAACUACGUGCCAGCAGCCGCGGUAAUACGUAGGGAGCGAGCGUUGUCCGGAAUUACUGGGUGUAAAGGGUGCGUAGGCGGCCUUGCAAGUCAGGCGUGAAAACCAUGGGCUCAACCCGUGGACUGCGUUUGAAACUGCAGUUCUUGAGUGAUGGAGAG